AGCUCCGUGGUGUGAUCAUAUUGAAUUGCAAAUUCAAAGAAGCAGACUGAGUUCUGCCGGGGCUU
rnacentral:tRNA from 1 species